rnacentral:rRNA from 1 species
UACGAAGGGGGCUAGCGUUGCUCGGAAUCACUGGGCGUAAAGCGCACGUAGGCGGCUUACUAAGUCAGGGGUGAAAUCCUGGAGCUCAACUCCAGAACUGCCUUUGAUACUGGUGAGCUUGAGUCCGGAAGAGGUGAGUGGAACUGCGAGUGUAGAGGUGAAAUUCGUAGAUAUUCGCAAGAACACCAGUGGCGAAGGCGGCUCACUGGCCCGAUACUGACGCUGAGGCACGAAAGCGUGGGGAGCAAACAGGA